GCUCAACCUUGUCCAUUGUGUUUACAAAAGUGAUACUGAAAACCCAUAACGUAGUUACUAUUCUUGUAACAUGAAUAAUGGAGCCAGAGUUCAAUAACGAGGAUUUAAAGGUAGACUCUUAUUAUACUCUUAUUUAGAAUUAUACACAUAUAAUAAACUUACGUGAGGCUAGCUAACUGAAUUUUUCUAAUUAAACUCGUAAUUAAAUUAUUAAA
rnacentral:lncRNA from 1 species